UACGGGGGGGGCAAGCGUUGUUCGGAAUUACUGGGCGUAAAGGGCUCGUAGGUGGCCAACUAAGUCAGACGUGAAAUCCCUCGGCUUAACCGGGGAACUGCGUCUGAUACUGGAUGGCUUGAGUUCGGGAGAGGGAUGCGGAAUUCCAGGUGUAGCGGUGAAAUGCGUAGAUAUCAGGAGGAACACCUGUGGUGUAGACAGCUUACUGGACCAUUUCUGACGCUGAGACACGAAAGCGUGGGUAGCAAACAGG
rnacentral:rRNA from 1 species